UCAAAAACAUGUCUUUUUGAAAAUAAUUUAAAGUCUAGUCUGCCCACUGAUAAAAUUAUUAAAGGGCUGCAGUAUAUUGACUGUACAAAGGUAGCAUAAUCAUUAGUCUUUUAAUUGAAGACUUGUAUGAAAGAUUUGAUGAAAUAUAUACUGUCUCUAAUUUAUAAAUAAAAUUUAAUUUUUUAGUUAAAAAGCUAAAAUAAUAUUAAAAGACGAGAAGACCCUAUAAAGUUUUAUAAUUUAUUUAUUUAAUAUUAAUUAUAUAAUUAAAUAUAAUAAUUAAUUUAAAUUAUUUUAUUGGGGUGAUAAAAAAAUUUAAUUAACUUUUUUUAAAAAAUAUACAUAAAUAAGUGUGAGAAUGAUCCAUUAUUAAUGAUUAAAAGAAAAAAUUACUUUAGGGAUAACAGCGUAAUAUUUUUUUUUAGUACGAAUAAAAAAAAAAGUUUGCGACCUCAAUUUUGGAUUAAGAUAAAAUUUAAGUGCAAAAGUUUAAAAUUUUGAUCUGUUCGAUCAUUAAAAUCUUACAUGAUCUGAGCU
rnacentral:rRNA from 1 species